rnacentral:rRNA from 1 species
UACGUAGGGUGCAAGCGUUGUCCGGAAUUACUGGGCGUAAAGUGUGCGCAGGCGGCAAAGCAAGUCGAGUGUGAAAGCCCCGGGCUUAACUUGGGAAUUGCGCUCGAAACUACUUUGCUGGAGUGUGGCAGAGGAAGGUGGAAUUCCACGUGUAGCGGUGAAAUGCGUAGAGAUGUGGAGGAACACCAAUGGCGAAGGCAGCCUUCUGGGCCAACACUGACGCUCAUGCACGAAAGCGUGGGGAGCAAGCAGG